rnacentral:rRNA from 1 species
UACGGAGGAUGCAAGCGUUAUCCGGAAUCAUUGGGCGUAAAGCGUCCGCAGGUGGCUGUUCAAGUCUGCUGUUAAAGACAGAAGCUCAACUUCUGAACAGCAGUGGAAACUGGACAGCUAGAGUACGGUAGGGGUUGAGGGAAUUCCCAGUGUAGCGGUGAAAUGCGUAGAUAUUGGGAAGAACACCAGUGGCGAAGGCGCUCAACUGGGCCGUAACUGACACUCAGGGACGAAAGCUAGGGUAGCGAAAGGG